rnacentral:rRNA from 1 species
CGAGGGCUAAUACCGGAUAAUCUUAGAUCUUGGCAUCAAGGUUUAAGGAAAGGUGGCCUCUGAAAAUGCUACCGAUUAUGGAUGGACCCGCGUCUGAUUAGCUAGUUGGUGGGGUAAAGGCCUACCAAGGCGACGAUCAGUAGCCGGCCUGAGAGGGUGAACGGCCACACUGGGACUGAGACACGGCCCAGACUCCUACGGGAGGCAGCAGUGGGGAAUAUUCCGCAAU